rnacentral:rRNA from 1 species
GAUGAACGCUGGCGGCGUGCCUAAUACAUGCAAGUCGAGCGAACAGACGAGGAGCUUGCUCCUCUGACGUUAGCGGCGGACGGGUGAGUAACACGUGGAUAACCUACCUAUAAGACUGGGAUAACUUCGGGAAACCGGAGCUAAUACCGGAUAAUAUAUUGAACCGCAUGGGUCAAUAGUGAAAGACGGUUUUGCUGUCACUUAUAGAUGGAUCCGCGCCGCAUUAGCUAGUUGGUAAGGUAACGGCUUACCAAGGCAACGAUGCGUAGCCGACCUGAGAGGGUGAUCGGCCACCCUGGAACUGAGACACGGUCCAGACUCCUACGGGAGGCAGCAGUAGGGAAUCUUCCGCAAUGGGCGAAAGCUUGACGGAGCAACGCCGCGUGAGUGAUGAAGGUCUUCGGAUCGUAAAACUCUGUUAUUAGGGAAGAACAAAUGUGUAAGUAGCUAUGCACGUAUUGACGGUACCUAAUCAGAAAGCCACGGCUAACUACGUG